UAAUACGAAGGGGGCUAGCGUUGUUCGGAAUUACUGGGCGUAAAGCGCGCGCAGGCGGUUCUCCAAGUCAGUGGUGAAAGCCCGGAGCUCAACUCCGGAAUUGCCAUUGAAACUGCAGAACUUGAGGACGAGAGAGGUGAGUGGAAUUCCCAGUGUAGAGGUGAAAUUCGUAGAUAUUGGGAAGAACACCGGUGGCGAAGGCGGCUCACUGGCUCGUUUCUGACGCUCAGGCGCGACAGCGUGGGGAUCAAACAGG
rnacentral:rRNA from 1 species